rnacentral:rRNA from 1 species
AACGUAGGUGGCAAGCGUUAUCCGGAAUUACUGGGCGUAAAGGGUGUGCAGGCGGGGUUGCAAGGGGGGUAUGAAAUAUCCCAGCUUAACUGGGAGGGGUUAUGCCAGACUGCAACUCUAGAGGACGAGAGAGGGGGGUAGAAUUCCACGUGUAGCAGUGAAAUGCGUAGAGAUGUGGAGGAAUACCGAUGGCGAAGGCAGCCCCCUGGGCCAAUACUGACGCUCAUGCACGAAAGCGUGGGGAGCAAACAGG